GCGAGUUGAAUAUUACACGUCUAUGAAUUUCAACAGACGUGUAAAAUUUGAAAGACAUGUAAAUAUUUAAGACGUGUAAUAUUUAAUUCGCACUGAAAAUCCCGUCAUAUGUGAUGCUUCUUUUUAUUUACAUCAUAUGUGAUGGAAAUUUACAUAAAAUAAUCGCGUUCCGUGUCAAGUAAUAUUCAUGUCGUUAAAAUUCAGUGCUAUUAUGGAUUCAACUUUUUUCAAUCCAUAAAUUUACAUCAAUAAAUCGCGUUCAACGUCAUGUAAUAUUAAAGGUUUUUCAAUUUCAGUGUUGUUAAGGAUUCAGAUUUUUUUUCUGUGUAAAAGAUAGAUGAUAGUCCAGGAAAAUAAUAUCGGAGAUUUAUAAAUAGGAGUGUAAUUUAUUUCAUCCGAAACAGAUUGAGGAAACUUGCUCUAAGAAGUUGUUAAGCGUUCGAAAUUUUAGAAGAAUAGCAUUGUCAUUAGCAGUAUGGUCCGAUUAUUAAUUCAAUCAUGCUAUUUAUUUUAGUUUGUAUAACGUUAAAUUAAUACAAAAGUUGGUGGUAGACAAUUAAAAAUUCUGUUUUAUGGUAUCCAAGUUGUUAAUAUAAUUACAGAGCAGCCGCGUAUUUAUUUUGAAUUCCUAAGGAAUCACACAUUGGAAAACAUCUUUAAUUACCAAAUCCAUUUGAAUCUAGUUCUUUCUUGUUUUAUUUCUUUUUUUUGUAGUUCCAUCUUUAGCUCGAUUAGGUUUGAAAUUCAAAUAAGGAUGUAGAAGAUCGAAGGUAUGAUUUUGAUAAACAAGAACCUUCUCGUCCAGGAAAAUAAUAUCGGGGUUUUAAAAAUUGACAUUUAUUUUAACCAAACCAAAGAUCAAGGAAGGUUGUUUUGAAAAGUUGUUCAAAAUUAGCAAUGAGGUUUUAGAAGAACAGAAUCGCCAUUUGCAUUAUGGUUUAUAUCCUGUUGUUUUGAUAAGUCAAUGAUAGUACAAAAGAUAUUGAUCAUGCAAUUCAUAAUUGUUUCAUGCAAUUCUAUUUUAUUGAUUCAUAUUGAUUCAUGCAAUUCUAUUUUAUUUUUUAAUUUUCCAAAAAAUUUGGUACAAUUAAUAUUUGUGUUAAGCGAAAUUUUAUAAUUUCAGCAUUGAGAGAUAGCUUCUUAUCUAGAUGUUUUGUUCUGAAUACGGGAAAUUUGUUUUAUUAGUCAAUCUAUAUUAAUCUCGAGUAAAAACGAUCAUAAAUUCAAAGUUUUUGAAUCGAGUAAGGUUAGGUGACAGGUAGGGAUAACUCAAUUACGGUAAGAUAGUGAACCCUUCUGACAAUGAUAUCGAGACGUUAGCAUAUGAUAACUUUUGCUACCAUACUGUUACUGCUCGGUUGAAUUGGAGGUUGGGUUAACUCGAAGCUCAUGUAGGGCCCAAUUGUCCCAGUCCGUCGAGCACUAUCUUAACGCUUCCCUAAACUGGUGCUUCAGAACCCUCGGGCUCUGUUGCCGCUAUCCUACUCUAAGCUAUUCUACUCUCAUGUAAAUUUUCCUCUUCUGUCCCCCGAUCUGUUUUUCCUUUCCGGGUCAGCCAGGUAGCUCAUAAACCCAUACAAAAAAAAAAAAAAAAAAAAUAAUCAUGUGUAUUUUAAGAGUGAAUUUGGGUUCAGUGUAGAGCAGCAAAUAUCUUAUCACCUUCGAUAGCGUCGUUACUGUGUGAGUAGAAUAGCAAACUCUUCCUGAUUUUUUGGUUUGAUAACAACAUUAUGACAAAAAUACUAUUCACCUAUUUUUAAACAAAAGAAAACCAACAGACAUAUAUUUGAUGUUACUGGUCCAACCCUGGUUUCAAUAACAUACAACAAUAACAAACUUUUUUGUUUACGAGUCAGUGGCCUCCUACACUCCAGACUCCAGAGGCAGUGCGUAGUGAAAAAUCGGAAAUAUCCCGAUAGUUCCCUGUUAUUGUUGGUGAAUUACUGCGUCAGUCUGUGCCGAUGAAAUCUAAUAAAGCUUCAAUCAGAUUAUCGAAAACUUUUAUUCUGUUUGCACCCAACGGAAGUGGUUUGGAACCAUAGACACAGCGUGAUUCUCGACUUCAUAUAGUGGCGAUUACCCAAAGGUUUUGCUCAAAGCCAACGAAGACGUGUUAGAAAAGCAUCUCACCGAAGACUUUCUGGCCACUUACUUCCCGACGAUCGGACGGAAAUAUCGACUUGAAGGUGAACGAAUCGGGAGCCCCGUUUAUUGAAUAAUGUUCUCACUCAGUCUCAAUCCUUUUCUACGGAAAAGAAGCACAAGAUUCAGACACAGUGUCGUAAGAGAGCAUAGGAAGCGGUGCAAAAGAAAAGUAGCGGUGAAGUACAACGAAAGUGAAGUUGAGUGAAAAGUACAACGAAAACAUUGAAGGCGAUCAUUUGCGAAAAAAACGUUAACACUCAGAAGAUGAUUAUUCUACCGGGAGUGAAGCUAGGGAAAUUUAAGAUUUUCAACAAUGUUCAGAAGAGUUGGCAAAAUCAACCGUACAAGUGAUUCAACAGGAAACAGAAUAGGUUGAGAAAUGUCACAAGAAGUAUCAAUUUUCUGUGGGUAAUUCCUGAAUCAUGGUCGAAUGUCUCAAGUCUCCCAAACAAUAUAGUGUCAGGGAAAA